CAGUCGCCACGGGAAUACGGAGGGUGCAAGCGUUAAUCGGAAUUACUGGGCGUAAAGCGUGCGUAGGCGGUUCGUUAAGUCUGUUGUGAAAGCCCCGGGCUCAACCUGGGAAUGGCAAUGGAUACUGGCGAGCUAGAGUGUGUCAGAGGAUGGUGGAAUUCCCGGUGUAGCGGUGAAAUGCGUAGAGAUCGGGAGGAACAUCAGUGGCGAAGGCGGCCAUCUGGGACAACACUGACGCUGAGGCACGAAAGCGUGGGGAGCAAACAGGAUUAGAUACCCCAGUAGUCCCUGUCUCUUAUAC
rnacentral:rRNA from 1 species